rnacentral:rRNA from 1 species
GGGAUUACCUUAGUAACGGCGAGUGAAGCGGUAAAAGCUCAAAUUUGAAAUCUGGUACUUUCAGUGCCCGAGUUGUAAUUUGUAGAAUUUGUCUUUGAUUAGGUCCUUGUCUAUGUUCCUUGGAACAGGACGUCAUAGAGGGUGAGAAUCCCGUUUGGCGAGGAUACCUUUUCUCUGUAAGACUUUUUCGAAGAGUCGAGUUGUUUGGGAAUGCAGCUCAAAGUGGGUGGUAAAUUCCAUCUAAAGCUAAAUAUUGGCGAGAGACCGAUAGCGAACAAGUACAGUGAUGGAAAGAUGAAAAGAACUUUGAAAAGAGAGUGAAAAAGUACGUGAAAUUGUUGAAAGGGAAGGGCAUUUGAUCAGACAUGGUGUUUUUUGCAUGCACUCGCCUCUCGUGGGCUUGGGCCUCUCAAAAAUUUCACUGGGCCAACAUCAGUUCUGGCAGCAGGAUAAAUCAUUAAGAAUGUAGCUACCUCGGUAGUGUUAUAGCUUAUUGGAAUACUGCUAGCUGGGAUUGAGGACUGCGCUUCGGCAAGGAU